rnacentral:rRNA from 2 species
GAUUUCUGGUUUAAUGCACCUGGCCCGCAAACCUUUUAGGCUUGUGAGUGCCGGCGCGCGUUUACCAUCCUUCUAGAAAUCGGUUCUGCCAUUCACUUGGUGGGGUCGCGAUCUAGAUCUUUUACUUUGAAAAAAUUAGAGUGUUUAAAGCAGGCUUUUGCUAUGAAUACAUUAGCAUGGAAUAAUAAUCUAGGACUUCGGUUCUAUUUUGUUGGUUUCUAUAACUGAAGUAAUGAUUGAUAGGGACAGUUGGGGGUGCUAGUAUUGGCCGGCCAGAGGUGAAAUUCUUGGAUUCGGUCAAGACUAACUUAUGCGAAAGCAUU